CACAGCUCAAAUUUGAAAUCUGGCCCCCAGGGCCCGAGUUGUAAUUUGCAGAGGAUGCUUUUGGCGCGGUGCCUUCCGAGUUCCCUGGAACGGGACGCCAUAGAGGGUGAGAGCCCCGUCUGGUCGGACACCAAGCCAGUGUAAAGCUCCUUCGACGAGUCGAGUAGUUUGGGAAUGCUGCUCUAAAUGGGAGGUAUAUGUCUUCUAAAGCUAAAUACCGGCCAGAGACCGAUAGCGCACAAGUAGAGUGAUCGAAAGAUGAAAAGCACUUUGAAAAGAGGGUUAAACAGUACGUGAAAUUGUUGAAAGGGAAGCGUUUAUGACCAGACUUGGGCCCGGUGAAUCAUCCAGCGUUCUCGCUGGUGCACUUUGCCGGGCUCAGGCCAGCAUCAGUUCGUCGCGGGGGAUAAAAGCUUCGGGAACGUGGCUCCCUCGGGAGUGUUAUAGCCCGUUGCAUAAUACCCUGCGGUGGACUGAGGUUCGCGCUCCGCAAGGAUGCUGGCGUAAUGGUCAUCAGCGACCCGUCUUGA
rnacentral:rRNA from 1 species